rnacentral:rRNA from 1 species
GACGAACGCUGGCGGCGUGCCUAAUACAUGCAAGUAGGACGCACAGUCUAUACCGUAGCUUGCUACACCAUAGGCUGUGAGUUGCGAACGGGUGAGUAACGCGUAGGUAACCUGCCUAUUAGAGGGGGAUAACUAUUGGAAACGAUAGCUAAUACCGCAUAACAGUAUGUAACACAUGUUAGAUGCUUGAAAGAUGCAAUUGCAUCGCUAGUAGAUGGACCUGCGUUGUAUUAGCUAGUAGGUAGGGUAAUGGCCUACCUAGGCGACGAUACAUAGCCGACCUGAGAGGGUUAUCGGCCACACUGGGACUGAGACACGGCCCAGACUCCUACGGGAGGCAGCAGUAGGGAAUCUUCGGCAAUGGGGGGAACCCUGACCGAGCAACGCCGCGUGAGUGAAGAAGGUUUUCGGAUCGUAAAGCUCUGUUGUUAAGGAAGAACGAGUGUGAGAAUGGAAAGUUCAUACUGUGACGGUACUUAACCAGAAAGGGACGGCUAACUACGUGCCAGCCGCCGCCGUAACAC